UGUUAGUAAAUUUGAUAUAAGCAGAGGGUUUAAAUACGUUUGGUAUGUAAUUUAGUUUGGUUUCUUGCAUGCCUGCCAUUCACCAUGAGAGAACAUGCCUCAGACAGCUGCUGGUCCAAGGAGGAUAAAACCUGAACACAAUCUGCAAAUUGGAGUCUGGAGCCUGGAUUUCAGCCUAGCCCAGGUCAACAGGUCAUGGUGACCACAAAGGGAACUGAAGGAGAUGAGCCCCUGAGGAACCAAUGACGCCAGAACUGUGUGAGGUGCCCGCUCGAGCCAUCUGUGCCCUCCGCUUCUGACUCAUCCAUCGGCUGAUGAAUGUUUAACUGAAGGUUCCUGUCCAGCUGGAGUAGCUGAGUCUGGAUGAAGGCAAAGAUGAAGGACCUGCCCUGGGGUCUGGGGUGCCAAAGGCAUUGUAUGCAGACCCCAAGGGCACAAAUCCCACUCCAAGGUCAAUGAUCCACUGUGCAGCCCAGAGAUGGAACAGGCUGCCUCUGCGAGAAGCUCGUUGGACCUGGCUCCCAGCCUGAGCAAGCC
rnacentral:lncRNA from 1 species